rnacentral:tRNA from 1 species
UUGCGUCGUCGGGCGGCCCCGACCCUCGGCUCUGACCCGAGGCUUGCUGGAUCGACACCAGCCGGCGCAAU